rnacentral:rRNA from 1 species
UGGGGAAUAUUGCACAAUGGGCGCAAGCCUGAUGCAGCCAUGCCGCGUGUGUGAAGAAGGCCUUCGGGUUGUAAAGCACUUUCAGCGAGGAGGAAGGGUAGUGUGUUAAUAGCACAUUGCAUUGACGUUACUCGCAGAAGAAGCACCGGCUAACUCCGUGCCAGCAGCCGCGGUAAUACGGAGGGUGCAAGCGUUAAUCGGAAUUACUGGGCGUAAAGCGCACGCAGGCGGUUUGUUAAGUCAGAUGUGAAAUCCCCGCGCUUAACGUGGGAACUGCAUUUGAAACUGGCAAGCUAGAGUCUUGUAGAGGGGGGUAGAAUUCCAGGUGUAGCGGUGAAAUGCGUAGAGAUCUGGAGGAAUACCGGUGGCGAAGGCGGCCCCCCUGGACAAAGACUGACGCUCAGG